UUAGAGUUUGAUCAUGGCUCAGGAUGAACGCUGGCGGCGUGCCUAACACAUGCAAGUCGAGCGGAGAGAGACGAGUAUUCGUACAAAUCUCUCUUAGCGGCGGACGGGUGAGUAACACGUGAGUAACCUGCCUUCUUCUGGGGAAUAACACAGAGAAAUUUGUGCUAAUACCGCAUAAAGUCACGACUGGGCAUCCAGAUGUGACCAAAGGAGCAAUCCGGAGGAAGAUGGACUCGCGUCCGAUUAGGUAGUUGGUGAGGUAACGGCCCACCAAGCCUACGAUCGGUAGCCGAACUGAGAGGUUGAUCGGCCACAUUGGGACUGAGACACGGCCCAGACUCCUACGGGAGGCAGCAGUGGGGAAUAUUGGGCAAUGGGGGAAACCCUGACCCAGCAACGCCGCGUGAAGGACGAAGGCCUUCGGGUUGUAAACUUCUUUGAUCAGGGACGAAACAAAUGACGGUACCUGAGGAAC
rnacentral:rRNA from 1 species